AGUAUAAUAUCAGUAUCUAAUGGUAUAAUAUCAGGAACAGUAGUAUAGUAUCAGGUACAGUAGUAUAAUAUCAGGUACAGUAGUAUAAUAUCAGGUACAGUAGUAUAAUAUCAGGAACAGUAGUAUAAUAUCAGGUACAGUAGUAUAAUAUCAGUAUCUACUGUUAUACUAUCAGGUACAGUAGUAUAAUAUCAGGUACAGUAGUAUAAUAUCAGGUACAGUAGUAUAAUACCAGGUACAGUAGUAUAAUAUCAGGUACAGUAGUAUAAUAUCAGGUACAGUAGUAUAAUAUCAGGAACAGUAGUAUAAUAUCAGGUACAGUAGUAUAAUAUCAGGUACAGUAGUAUAAUAUCAGUAUCUACUGUUAUACUAUCAGGUACAGUAGUAUAAUAUCAGUAUCUACUGUUAUAAUAUCAGGUACAGUAGUAUACUAUCAGGUACAGUAGUAUAAUAUCAGGUACAGUAGUAUAAUAUCAGGUACAGUAGUAUAUUAUCAGGUACAGUAGUAUAAUAUCAGGUACAGUAGUAUACUAUCAGGUACAGUAGUAUAAUAUCAGGUACAGUAGUAUAAUAUCAGGUACAGUAGUAUAAUAUCAGGUACAGUAGUAUAAUAUCAGGUACAGUAGUAUACUAUCAGGUACAGUAGUAUACUAUCAGGUACAGUAGUAUAAUAUCAGGUACAGUAGUAUAAUAUCAGGUACAGUAGUAUAAUAUCAGGUACAGUAGUAUAAUAUCAGGUACAGUAGUAUACUAUCAGGUACAGUAGUAUAAU